CGGACGGGUGAGUAAUGUCUGGGAAACUGCCCGAUGGAGGGGGAUAACUACUGGAAACGGUAGCUAAUACCGCAUAACGUCGCAAGACCAAAGAGGGGGACCUUCGGGCCUCUUGCCAUCGGAUGUGCCCAGAUGGGAUUAGCUAGUAGGUGGGGUAACGGCUCACCUAGGCGACGAUCCCUAGCUGGCCUGAGAGGAUGACCAGCCACACUGGAACUGAGACACGGUCCAG
rnacentral:rRNA from 1 species